rnacentral:lncRNA from 10 species
CAACACCCGUGGGAAUCCCAUGGGCACCAUGGCCCCUCGCUCCAAAAAUGCUUUCGCGUCGCGCAGACACUGCUCGGUAGUUUCGGGGAUCAGCGUUUGAGUAAGAGCCCGCGUCUGAACCCUCCGCGCCGCCCCGGCCCCAGUGGAAAGACGCGCAGGCAAAACGCACCACGUGACGGAGCGUGACCGCGCGCCGAGCGCGCGCCAAGGUCGGGCAGGAAGAGGGCCUAUUUCCCAUGAUUCCUUCAUAUUUGCAUAUACGAUACAAGGCUGUUAGAGAGAUAAUUAGAAUUAAUUUGACUGUAAACACAAAGAUAUUAGUACAAAAUACGUGACGUAGAAAGUAAUAAUUUCUUGGGUAGUUUGCAGUUUUAAAAUUAUGUUUUAAAAUGGACUAUCAUAUGCUUACCGUAACUUGAAAGUAUUUCGAUUUCUUGGCUUUAUAUAUCUUGUGGAAAGGACGAAACACCGUGCUCGCUUCGGCAGCACAUAUACUAAAAUUGGAACGAUACAGAGAAGAUUAGCAUGGCCCCUGCGCAAGGAUGACACGCAAAUUCGUGAAGCGUUCCAUAUUUUUACAUCAGGUUGUUUUUCUGUUUUUACAUCAGGUUGUUUUUCUGUUUGGUUUUUUUUUUACACCACGUUUAUACGCCGGUGCACGGUUUACCACUGAAAACACCUUUCAUCUACAGAAAAAUGGUGCAACUGCUUUGCUAGUGCUUCAGCAUGCACGUGGGCCCUGCGGCCACUGGGACCUCAGUCGAUCUGCCGGGAGCGGCCGCACAGCUCCCAGCCUCCAGGCGCGCCGCAGGAGGACUGUUAGGCUCGAAGCCCCGGAGCCACCCAGGGACAGCGGCGGGUACUCUACCAGCGGGCGCUGGGAGCUGCCGGGCAGCAUUCCAUUCAGGACUCAUUCCUUUUCUCUUCAGUGGAAGUGAAAUGAUCCUUUCCAGGUAACAGCCGAGCAUAGGGGACUGCGGGACAUCUCCGCCUCUUCCUUGGCUCUGGGCCUUCGAUGUAAGGCGUUAGAGGACAAUCUUUGUUGGCUGGAUUUCUGUUCUUCCCCUAGAGAUAUCUGGUUCUUUGGAGGCCACUUGGGCAAUUGGUGGCUGUUGUCCAGAAGCACCUAGGGAUUCCUUCCCUCAGACAUUUUCAGCACCUAGAUGAACCGCAAAGUUGGAAGCCUUUCAUCUACACAUGUGUUGUGUGCCUGUGGAGCCCUGGGCCCUGUGUUGAAGAUUGCAAGGAAAAGCAAGGUGUGACCCCUGCUGUGGACUUACUUUCAGUCUUAGGGCAACAGACACUUACAACCAAGAAUAACAAAGGGAGCCGUCGGAACAUCCUGGGACUCCAAGGCUCCGACCCCCAGCGCAAAGGACUCUAGGGACUGGCUUCCUGGCUGUACCGCGCAGCGGGACUCCUCGUCUGCACAGCUUCGGGGAGGCCCAGAGCACGCCCCUACUAGCCGGCUCCGUCCAAGGCCCACCAAGACAACCCGCCACGAAACUUCCCGGCCCCCUCAGCCCAGGGCUCCCGGUCCCGAGCUGCUGGCCGGUGGCGCGGGGCCUGCCGCCCGCCUUCUACGAGCCGCAUGGACGGAGGCCUGCGUGUUAUUUCAUAGAGGCCGAAACGGAGACCCAGGAAAGAUAAAAGAAGGGCUCAACCCGGGACCCCCACUAGCCAGCCGAGGGCGAGAAAUGAAAGCCAAGGCUGAAUGAUUCCCUGUGCCGUGAGCUCUCUCCCACUCCAUCCACACUCUCCUCCCUGCAAAGAGUGUUCUGCAAUUUGCAGCGUCGUCUGUAGCCCAAGCAGGAGGUGCGCUGUGGAAACUGAGGCCGCUGGGAGGCCUUGCCAACCGUGACCCGGACGUCGGACGCCCCAGCCGAGGCCCGGCGAGUCCUUAGCCCCUCUCGAACUAAAAUGGACCGAACAGAAAAUGCGGACGGGGCUCCCUCCUUUCGGGUAGCGGCGGGGCAGACGGGAGGCCGUCUGUGACCGAGCUCUCCAAGUCCCGCCUUCCUUUCCAAGCCUGCCCGGCGGAGACCACCUUACUCCCUGAGACCUCCGCCCUGCCGCAGCGCUCCCAGGCCAGGCCAGGCCGGCGGUGCCCGCGCCAUCUAAAGGGACAAUUCUGGUUGAACCUGGGAUUCCCGGCAGGGCGCCCUGUCUGUGAGCGCCCCGGAGGACUUGGCUGGGAGAUACUCCUUUGGUCUGGAUAGGAUUUCCUCGUUUCCAAAUCAUCGGCGGGCGAGUGAUUGUCUUCCUUAUCUGGCUCUUGAAGGCAACAAACCGAAUUUCAAGAGAGGCAAAGAAACCGUGACCCGGAUACUGCCGGAGCUGCCGCGGUCGGGGCGCCCCAGCCCUAAUUAAAAGCGUCGUGGCCGCCUCUGGUUCCCGGCUGUGCGCCCAGGAGCGCGCCCUGAGGCUUUGGGCCGGGCACCCCCCACCCCCGCGCCUGGUCUGCUCAUCUCCGGGCUUCAGGCCCCCGCCCCAGCCCCUUGGAAAAGAGCUAGGCGAGCAGCCGAGCCCACCAGGGACGAGCGACCUACAUCGCGCGCAGAUACUGGGGCACCGCGAGCGCGCGUGGCCGCCGGGUCUGUCCGCCCGACUCCUGCUGAGAACGCGGCCCAGGCUGCGACCUUCGGGGUGGGUGGGGGGACAUCGUCCGGGGUUCGGCUGCCUCGACCUGCCCGAUUUUCCGCUGCCCCCAACCCCUCCUCUGUGAGGAACCUGGUAAGGCGCGCAAGUGCAGGGCGGCCCCCACCACCCCGCGAUGGGCCUCAGCUACCCUGGCGCUUCUGGGGUACCCAAGCGCGCGGCCAUGUGCCCCCAUCCUCCGCCCCGAUCCGGCCUAGCCAAAGGGGACCCCGCGGCCAAACACACUUGCUGAAUAAAUGAGAGGAUUUGAAGGCCGUGUCGGGCGUGAUUUUGUUAAGGGUUUAACGCCGUGUCUGGGUGUACUGCAGCAUGUGUGUGCGUGUGGUGGAGAGGGCGUUGUCACUGUUGUUUUUAAGUAACUAAAGAUUGGAAGUUGUUGGGAGUACUAG